rnacentral:siRNA from 1 species
GACAAACCUCUUCGCCGACGAAUU